UAAAUAUCAGAUGUAUAGCAGCUAAUAUGGACCAUUAUUUAGAGCUCUGUAAAUAAAAAAUAAUGUAAGCAGAGCUCUAGAUAAUAUAUAUGUAGGGUGGGAGAAAUUAUGGGUCACUUCAAAUUAUUUGGUGAAAUUUUCAAAAAAGGUGAUUAAUUGAAAGUGCAUCUGAUAUUUUGUAUAUAUAUAACUUUACUUCUAAAACAAUAGGACAAAAAAAAUUGACAUUAGGACAAUGAGGAAAGCCACCUUGGCAGCCGGGAAAGCAGCUUUAAGGAAGAUGGUCAAAUAAAUCUUCAACCAUGUCUGAGGCUUUAUCAAGUAAAAUAUGUUGUUGUAAUAACAAUGUGUUCAUGGUGUUGGGAGUAAGACUUGGAUAUCUCAUACUGUUAACAUGUUGGUUAGCAUCAUGUUUCCAUAGGGUUACUUGAUGGGUAGUAAUUAGAGCUGUUUUAAGUUGAAAGUGUUUCUGUUGCUGCCCUUGUAUGGUAGAAUCCUCAGACAAUAAUCCUGCA